ACGAACGCUGGCGGCGUGCCUAAUACAUGCAAGUCGAGCGAGCGGAACUAACAGAUUUACUUCGGUAAUGACGUUAGGAAAGCGAGCGGCGGAUGGGUGAGUAACACGUGGGGAACCUGCCCCAUAGUCUGGGAUACCACUUGGAAACAGGUGCUAAUACCGGAUAAGAAAGCAGAUCGCAUGAUCAGCUUUUAAAAGGCGGCGUAAGCUGUCGCUAUGGGAUGGCCCCGCGGUGCAUUAGCUAGUUGGUAAGGUAAAGGCUUACCAAGGCGAUGAUGCAUAGCCGAGUUGAGAGACUGAUCGGCCACAUUGGGACUGAGACACGGCCCAAACUCCUACGGGAGGCAGCAGUAGGGAAUCUUCCACAAUGGACGCAAGUCUGAUGGAGCAACGCCGCGUGAGUGAAGAAGGUUUUCGGAUCGUAAAGCUCUGUUGUUGGUGAAGAAGGAUAGAGGUAGUAACUGGCCUUUAUUUGACGGUAAUCAACCAGAAAGACACGGCUAACUACGUG
rnacentral:rRNA from 1 species